ACUUUGGCCUUUAUUGGGCUAAUUGGGCAUUCUGAUAUCAAGCAUGGUUUCUACCAAAUCACAGUUUAUGUAUCGUCCAGUUUUCAGACCGUUUCAGAUUUUCCAAUGUGUGUGUAUGGGGACAGAAUGUUGAGAGGGGAGGAGAGAGGGGGGAGCUGCAGUACGAUUCUCUGAAAUCUUUCCAAACAAAUUGCUGUCUCCCCUACAGUUUUCACUCUUCAUACAU